AGCUCCAAUAGCGUAUAUUAAAAUUGUUGGCGUUAAAAAGCUCGUAGUCGAACUUCGGCGGUUGGAAGCCGGUCCGCUUUUAACGAGUGUGUACUGGAUCUUCUAGCCGCUUUACCUCCUGGUGAACUAGCUUGGCGUUUACUCGUCGAGUUAGGGAACCCGGACAGUUACUUUGAAAAAAAUUAGAGUGUUCAAAGCAGGCAUGUUUGCCCGAAUAUCUUAGCAUGGAAUAAUAGAAUAGGACGUGCACGCCUAUUGUGUUGGUCUCUAGGUGUGCCGUAAUGAUGAAUAGGGGCGGUUGGGGGCAUUUGUAUUCAAUUGCUAGAGGUGAAAUUCUUGGAUUUAUUGAAGACAAACUACUGCGAAAGCAUUUGCCAAGGACGCUUUCA
rnacentral:rRNA from 1 species